GCAACAAUCACAUAAUCUGUCACAUAAUGAACCUGGACAAUAUAUAUCAAUACAUCAUCUCAGGCAUAUAACUCAUCUGUAUAAAAAUCUGGUUCCCAUUCCAUCCAUGGUCAAACCCAUAUCCACAACAGGAUCUAUGACUGUAACUAUACACAAAAUACAACAGAAGGUUUAUAAUACACCAAAAGGGGAUAAACCUCUAUCUACAUUAUACUAUACUAU
rnacentral:lncRNA from 1 species